rnacentral:lncRNA from 1 species
AUUUGGGAAGAGAGGUAGAGGAUGAGCACUCACAUCCUCUGUUUUCAUCUUAUUCCUAAAAUAUUAAUAAUAAUAACUAUAUAGCUAUAUACACCUCUUUAGAUCUCUGGUUAUAAUUUCUACCAUUUCCCCAAUUUGGGUUUUUUCUUGAAAAAAAUGUUCAAUCUUUACAAAUGGUAUGAAAAGAUAUUUUGAAUUUGUCUCUAUUUUUUUUAUUUUCUUUUGAUUUUUUGUUGUUGAGCUUUUGAUCUGUUGGAAUUUUGAUGUUUUCAGAUACAUUGUAUUGUUUUUUGAUUGAUGGUACAAGGAUCCAUGUUCUUGGAUUGAAUCCAACACUUUCCCCUUGCUGUUUGAUCAGUAUUCCCACCUGGAGUCUACCUGAUUUGCUAGAUAAGGUCUGUUUCUUGUUUUGUUAAUCCUUUUGUUUAUCCACAUUUUUGGAUCUUUUUAUAAAAAAGGAAAAAAAACUGGGGUAUGGGGGAGGGGAUUAUAAAGUGGGAAUCAAAUUGUUAUCGAAAAGAUGAAAAUUCAGGUAACCAACCAACUGAGUUAGUAAGAUUUCCACCUAUGGGGUGUUUUAAAUUCCCAAGUUUUUGUUAUAUCAAGUUGGUAAUUAUCUACCUAUGUUAAAUUUGAUUAAGAUGCAGGCAUUUUUGCUAAUACCCAAAUUGCUCAAUUGGACAGCCCAAAAUUUGAUGGGCUUUGGUACCCUUUGGACCAGCAAGCCCAUGGGCCUUUUCAACCAAACGCA